rnacentral:rRNA from 1 species
GACGAACGCUGGCGGCGUGCUUAACACAUGCAAGUCGAACGGAAAGGCCCUGCUUUUGUGGGGUGCUCGAGUGGCGAACGUGUGAGUAUCACGUGAGUAACCUGCCCUUGACUUUGGGAUAACUUCAGGAAACUGGGGCUAAUACCGGAUAGGAGCUACUGCUGCAUGGUGGGGGUUGGAAAGUUUCGGCGGUUGGGGAUGGACUCGCGGCUUAUCAGCUUGUUGGUGGGGUAGUGGCUUACCAAGGCUUUGACGGGUAGCCGGCCUGCGAGGGUGACCGGCCACAUUGGGACUGAGAUACGGCCCAGACUCCUACGGGAGGCAGCAGUGGGGAAUAUUGCACAAUGGGCGGAAGCCUGAUGCAGCAACGCCGCGUGCGGGAUGACGGCCUUCGGGUUGUAAACCGCUUUCGCCUGUGACGAAGCGUGAGUGACGGUAAUGGGUAAAGAAGCACCGGCUAACUACGUG